rnacentral:rRNA from 1 species
GCCUCAGGAUCUGCUUAGAGAAGGGGGCAACUCCAUCUCAGAGCGGAGAAUUUGGACAAACUUGGUCAUUUAGAGGAACUAAAAGUCGUAACAAGGUUUCCGUAGGUGAACCUGCGGAAGGAUCAUUAAAGAAAUUUAAUAAUUUUGAAAAUGGAUUUUUUUUUUUGUUUUGGCAAGAGCAUGAGAGCUUUUACUGGGAAAAAAGACAAGAGAUGGAGAGUCCAGCCGGGCCCGCGCUUAAGUGCGCGGGCUUGCUGGGCUUGUAAGUUUCUUUCUUGCUAUUCCAAACGGAGAGAGAUUUCUGUGCUUUUGUUAUAGGACAAUUAAAACCGUUUCAAUACAACACACUGUGGAGUUUUCAUAUCUUUGCAACUUUUUCUUUGGGCAUUCGAGCAAUCGGGGCCCAGAGGUAACAAACACAAACAAUUUUAUCUAUUCAUUAAAUUUUUGUCAAAAAACAAGAAUUUUCGUAACUGGAAAUUUUAAAAUAUUAAAAACUUUCAACAACGGAUCUCUUGGUUCUCGCAUCGAUGAAGAACGCAGCGAAAUGCGAUACGUAAUGUGAAUUGCAGAAUUCCGGGAAUCAUUGAAUCUUUGAACGCACAUUGCGCCCCUUGGUAUUCCAGGGGGCAUGCCUGUUUGAGCGUCAUUUCCUUUUCAAACAUUCUGUUUGGUAGUGAGUGAUACUCUUUGGAGUUAACUUGAAAUUGCUGGCCUUUUUCAUUGGAUGUUUUUUUUUCCAAAGAGAGGUUUCUCUGCGUGCUUGAGGUAUAAUGCAAGUACGGUCGUUUUAGGUUUUACCAACUGCGGCUAAUCUUUUUUAUACUGAGCGUAUUGGAACGUUAUCGAUAAGGAGAGAGCGUCUAGGCGAACAAUGUUCUUAAAGUUUGACCUCAAAUCAGGUAGGAGUACCCGCUGAACUUAAGCAUAUCAAUAAGCGGAGGAAAAGAAACCAACCGGGAUUGCCUUAGUAACGGCGAGUGAAGCGGCAAAAGCUCAAAUUUGAAAUCUGGUACCUUCGGUGCCCGAGUUGUAAUUUGGAGAGGGCAACUUUGGGGCCGUUCCUUGUCUAUGUUCCUUGGAACAGGACGUCAUAGAGGGUGAGAAUCCCGUGUGGCGAGGAGUGCGGUUCUUUGUAAAGUGCCUUUCGAAGAGUCGAGUUGUUUGGGAAUGCAGCUCUAAGUGGGUGGUAAAUUCCAUCUAAAGCUAAAUAUUGGCGAGAGACCGAUAGCGAACAAGUACAGUGAUGGAAAGAUGAAAAGAACUUUGAAAAGAGAGUGAAAAAGUACGUGAAAUUGUUGAAAGGGAAGGGCAUUUGAUCAGACAUGGUGUUUUGUGCCCUCUGCUCCUUGUGGGUAGGGGAAUCUCGCAUUUCACUGGGCCAGCAUCAGUUUUGGUGGCAGGAUAAAUGCAUAGGAAUGUAGCUUGCCUCGGUAAGUAUUAUAGCCUGUGGGAAUACUGCCAGCUGGGACUGAGGACUGCGACGUAAGUCAAGGAUGCUGGCAUAAUGGUUAUAUGCCGCCCGUCUUGAAACACGGACCAAGGAGUCUAACGUCUAUGCGAGUGUUUGGGUGUAAAACCCAUACGCGUAAUGAAAGUGAACGUAGGUUGGGGCCUCGCAAGAGGUGCACAAUCGACCGAUCCUGAUGUCUUCGGAUGGAUUUGAGUAAGAGCAUAGCUGUUGGGACCCGAAAGAUGGUGAACUAUGCCUGAAUAGGGUGAAGCCAGAGGAAACUCUGGUGGAGGCUCGUAGCGGUUCUGACGUGCAAAUCGAUCGUCGAAUUUGGGUAUAGGGGCGAAAGACUAAUCGAACCAUCUAGUAGCUGGUUCCUGCCGAAGUUUCCCUCAGGAUAGCAGAAGCUCGUAUCAGUUUUAUGAGGUAAAGCGAAUGAUUAGAGGUUCCGGGGUCGAAAUGACCUUGACCUAUUCUCAAACUUUAAAUAUGUAAGAAGUCCUUGUUACUUAAUUGAACGUGGACAUUGA